ACCGAAAUAGCUCAGUUGGGAGAGCGUUAGACUAUAGAUCCAAAGGUCCCUGGUUCGAUCCCGGGAUUCGGCA
rnacentral:tRNA from 1 species